UCCCCCGUCUCCCCCUUUCGCUCCUUCGGUGCUCCCAGGAGACCAACGGAGAGGAGCGCCCAUGGAUGCAUCGACAUCCACAGGAGGAAGGUCUUGGAGCGAGGUCUUCAUCCAAUCCAGGUAGUGAAUGCGAUAUUCGCGUGCCUCUUGCUUUCGCUCAUCGGUAUCCGAGUCCCAAGACUCGCUACUCUCGCUGUCGCUGAUCGCGCGCGAGAGCGAGCGGGGAUCCAGUCCCAGACG
rnacentral:ribozyme from 1 species